CAGACCUACAUUUUGGAACAGUCACAAGGAAGAAGUGUUUCUUUUCAGAGCCUGGAGCAGUCAGCACAAGGGUUUAGAAGCCCUGCGGUGUGCACAUGGAAGCCAAGGACUGUGAUCUUCAAUGUCUCGUGUGGCUCUUCCAGGCUCACAAUCACCACCUGCUCCGAGUUCUUCCAAAGAGCAGUUUAGCUUCUUGUGGGGAGAUUAUGGAUUGCUCCCCAAUCCAUGGGAUCCUACAGCAGCUGGCAGUAAUGGGAUGAACACUACUGUGAAGAUUUUAUCCCCUUUGGAUCCCCAUGAUAACUUGGCAGGGACUUUUGUUCAACAUUAACUAAGUGACAGUGGCUGAGAGGAGAGCUGAAGCCCAGCCAGAACAGCACCACACCUCAGAAGCUCGAAACACUUUUGCAAUGCAGAUUUAAGAGUAAGUUCUUCGUCCCAGACAUUCCUGUCAUUGGAUAAAUAAAGAUUUAUAGCUGCCUUCUCUGGCAAACUGCAAUAUGGUAAUGCGGCAUUAAUAACUUAAUACAGUAUUAACUGAUAGACAAUCAGUAUUAGCAUGAUGUUUACAUUUUGAAAACAUUAUAGAGCACUGUAUCUCCAAUUUUUAGCCUGCCAUUAGUUCAGAUGUGGAGCUCAUUACACAGCAAUUGACAUUUCCCUUCUGAAUCUGCAUCCUGCUCUGCACAGGCCUCGUAUCUGCCUGGGACAACCAGCCCUGUAAGCCACUCUGCAAAUCUAAAUUCUCUGCAGAACAUCCACGGUGUUUUGCUCUCCUGAGGCUGCAGGUACCUUUUCAAACACCGUACCCAAAAAGCUGCAAGGGGGUUCUGAACGUGGGGCCCCCCACUGCACCUGCCAAAGAGAUGCAGGUCCCAGCCUGGUACUCGGACCCCUCUCCCCAUCCCCGUGCCUCUGUUCACUGCUGUCCAGGCUGGGCCGAGGCACCAGCCCCGGCCUCUGGGACAGCCCGAGGACACUUUGCCGGACUCGGGCGCGAUUACGCAGCUCCGGGGCCGCAGCCGGAGGGGUCACAGU